rnacentral:rRNA from 1 species
ACCUACGGGGGGCAGCAGGGAAUUUUCGUCAAUGGGCGCAAGCCUGAACGAGCAAUGCCGCGUGAACGAGGAAGGUCUUCGGAUCGUAAAGUUCUGUUGAAGGGGAAAAAGAGCGGAGAGAGGAAAUGCUUUCUGAUUGAUAUUACCCUUCGAGGAAGUCACGGCUAACUACGUGCCAGCAGCCGCGGUAAUACGUAGGUGGCGAGCGUUAUCCGGAAUGAUUGGGCGUAAAGGGUGCGUAGGCGGCCUGCUAAGUCUGGAGUGAAAGGUACCGGCUCAACCGGUACAGGCUCUGGAAACUGGCG